rnacentral:rRNA from 1 species
GAUGAACGCUGGCGGCGUGCCUAAUACAUGCAAGUCGAGCGAACAGACGAGGAGCUUGCUCCUCUGACGUUAGCGGCGGACGGGUGAGUAACACGUGGAUAACCUACCUAUAAGACUGGGAUAACUUCGGGAAACCGGAGCUAAUACCGGAUAAUAUAUUGAACCGCAUGGUUCAAUAGUGAAAGACGGUUUUGCUGUCACUUCUAGAUGGAUCCGCGCCGCAUUAGCUAGUUGGUAAGGUAACGGCUUACCAAGGCAACGAUGCGUAGCCGACCUGAGAGGGGGAUCGGCCACACUGGAACUGAGACACGGUCCAGACUCCUACGGGAGGCAGCAGUAGGGAAUCUUCCGCAAUGGGCGAAAGCCUAACGGAGCAACGCCGCGUGAGUGAUGAAGGUCUUCGGAUCGUAAAACUCUGUUAUUAGGGAAGAACAAAUGUGUAAGUAACUAUGCACGUCUUGACGGUACCUAAUCAGAAAGCCACGGCUAACUACGUG